AUUGAACGCUGGCGGCGUGCCUAACACAUGCAAGUCGAGCGGUAACAGGUGUAGCAAUACAUGCUGACGAGCGGCGGACGGGUGAGUAACGCUUGGGAAUCUGCCUGAUAGUGGGGGACAACCCGGGGAAACUCGGGCUAAUACCGCAUACGCACUACGGUGGAAAGCCGGGGACCGCAAGGCCUGGCGCUAACAGAUGAGCCCAAGGUCGGAUUAGCUAGUUGGUAGGGUAAUGGCCUACCAAGGCGACGAUCCGUAACUGGUCUGAGAGGACGACCAGUCACACCGGAAACUGAGACACGGUCCGGACUCCUACGGGAGGCAGCAGUGGGGAAUAUUGGACAAUGGGCGAAAGCCUAUCCAGCGACGCCGCGUGGGUGAAGAAGGCCUGC
rnacentral:rRNA from 1 species